GAUCCUGGCUCAGGAUGAACGCUAGCUACAGGCUUAACACAUGCAAGUCGAGGGGCAGCAUAUCGAAGCUUGCUUUGAUAGAUGGCGACCGGCGCACGGGUGGGUAACGCGUAUCCAACCUUCCCCAUAGUAGGGCAUAGCCCGUAGAAAUGCGGAUUAAUACCCUAUGUAUUCCGAGGAUGACAUCUGAUUCGGAACAAAGGUUCACCGCUAUGGGAUGGGGAUGCGUCUGAUUAGGUAGUAGGCGGGGUAACGGCCCACCUAGCCGACGAUCAGUAGGGUUCUGAGAGGAAGGUCCCCCACAUUGGAACUGAGACACGGUCCAAACUCCUACGGGAGGCAGCAGUGAGGAAUAUUGGUCAAUGGGCGAGAGCCUGAACCAGCCAAGUAGCGUGCAGGAAGACGGCCCUAUGGGCUGUAAACUGCUUUUAUACAGGGAUAAAGUCGGGGACGUGUUCCCCGUUUGCAGGUACUGUAUGAAUAAGGACCGGCUAAUUCCGUGCCAGCAGCUGC
rnacentral:rRNA from 1 species